CAAAAAUGGUGGCAACCUCUGAUUUCCUUCAGGAGAAGUGGCAUGGUCUGGUGCGGCUUGCCAGAAGGCCGGCCCAGUAUGCACUGCAUCUCCUGACCCAAGGUUACUCCGGCCUGCAUGUCUCCUGAUGUGGCACAGACUGGACCUGCCUCUGCCACCGCCUUCCGGCACCGCAGACAAACUUCCGGAAGAGGAGGUCAAGGUAAGUUUUCCUUCCAUUUUUUGGUCCUGUUUCUGGACUCACACCACAGCAGAAGUAAAAAAAAUGCCCGUCUUUUGCUCCCUCGCUCUGGUGCAACCAGUGCGGGGGAGCAAAAUUGGGACACUUGGGAUUGGGAGGAAAAGCAGGGGCAUCUUCUGCCAAUUCGGGAUGUCCCAAAUAAUUCGGGACACUUGAGGGGUCUGACAGCGAAACCUUCAUUUUUGGCUCAAAUACCAACCAGGAUCUUCAUUUCCUGUCUCUGGAGAAGUGUGUGUGCCUUUUCAAACAGUUAAUCUCCAUGGUCAUCCCUCCACCCCCUGGGCUCACAAACGUGUCAGGAUGGUCCCCCUAAGUCACUUGCUAAUGAAAGCGUAAUAUACAACAAUGGGCUGCAUGAUCAGCCUAAGAAAGAAGCCUCCUGGGGGAUUCUCAAAAUGAAUACUGAAUCAGCGUCAAGUCAGAUUUUAAUCUUCCUUCAGACUUCUCAUAAAUUAACUAGAGACACUCUGUGCCACUGAUUCAAAUUCCAUUCUGGUACUUUACACAGCAGCUCCCCCUCCCCAGGAAGAGUUCUCCUUUUAACCGACAUGUGAAUCACAGUCCUUUUGCUGUUGGCUAAUGAAACAAUCUAUGGCCUUUGAAACUGGGGCGGGGGAGGGAGUUACUGUUUUUCGCUUGUUAUUAUGUUAUGCAUUCUUUUGUGGUCUUAUACUGUAACUUAACCUGUGAUCCUCGGAGGAUGGGUGGUAUAUAAAUUUCAGAAAUAAUAAUAUUAAUAAAUAAGAAGAAUUUUAGAAGUUCCAGAUGGUCAUGAGGCAAUCGGAUUCUCCCCUAGCCUCAAUACCAGGUAUUUGUUUUUCCAAUACUAGUUAUUUGUUUCUCUCUCUCUCUCUCUCUCUCACACACACACACACAUUUAUUUCAUGGAGAAUAGGGCUACCUACUGGUCACAAUGACCAGUAAUGCUACUGAAUGCUAGCUGCUGGAAACCGCCCAUGUGCAGAGCAUUGUUGCGCUCAUGCGCAGGGUCCCCAUCGGGGCAUCUGAUUGGCCACUGGGACAGAAGGAGUGGAUGAACCAUUGGCCUUACCCAGCAGGCUCAUCUUAUGUUUUUAUGUUCUUUAAGGGGGGAAAUCCUAAGCUGGGAAUCGCACCAAAAUGAGUCCUGAGCAUGUUCAAUGGCCAUGGAAUACUGACAGAGUGGGCAGGAGGCAGAGCCGGCCCUUGAGGCAUGGUGAGGCAGUUGCCCCAGGUGGCGGACUGGGGACUGCUAGGAGAGGUGGCAGAUCCAUGCCCCCGAGGUAUGUACCUGCCACAGAGUGAGCUGGCCAGUAAAUAUCUCAAUUGUUGGAGUUAACUUUUUAUUAGCAAAAACACACGUCUUCACAGACUUGGCUGAGUAUCAGGCCUAAAGAGCACAGAAGCUUGUUCCCUGUAGGUCUUACUCCAUGAAAUCAGUUGCUGAGACUACAUCUCCUCACUUCCCCACAGCCAUCUAUGUCUCCUUCUCUCCUGGUUCUGGGAGUCAGGAGGCAAAAGGAGCAUCUUUCAGCAGGAGGGGAAGGCACCCUUGUCUCUUCACCUCCCUCCUCUUGACCUCCUGCUUCAGCUUCAGCCUCUGCUUCUAGACUGCUCUCUGCCACAGCCUCUUCCUGCUCACUAAACCCUGUAAUCUCUUCAGCUUCUGACACCCCCUCCUCUCAGUCUUCUCUCUCUUUUCCCUCUGGCCACUCAUCGUCAUCCCACCACCAUUCUCUGGGCUCUGAGCCUUCCUCCUUUGGUGGUUCCCCAGCUGGUUCCUUCCACCAUUCCUCUGCAUCCAGCCAGUUCAUGACAGUACCACUCACCAUCUCCUGCCCUUACUGCUGACCCUGCCCCCCUUCCUCUUCCACAACCUCCCAUUCCUCUCCGGCCUCCUUCAGGGCACCAGGCUGCCUCCAGCUGUCUCAGGUAGUGGCAGGAGGGACAAAGGAGGAGGAAUGGGUGCCAUUUUCUCAUUUGCCUCAAGAGGCAGCCCAACUUGGGUGGGCCCUGGCAGAGGGCGAGGUGUAAAACAGAGAAUCCUGGAGGACAACACUGAGCAGGAACUUUCCAAACCACAAUAUUUUAUUGCAGCUCCUGCUUGUAAGAGGAUGCUAUUUAAGAUCUCCCCAAUUAUAAGUUUGCAUAGAGAAGCAGCACAUUAUCUGCUGCUAAUUCAAUUUUUAAUAAGCCUUUCCAAGGACAAAUCUUAGUGGCUCACAGAAGAGACUUUAUAAUUAAUAUAAUGUUCAGGGGUCCCCCCCCCCCGCUCUCUCUCUCCAUGGCAAUUAGCUAUUAUACAGGUCAGCGUUUUAAAAAGUGUUCGUCGCAGGAACCAGUUCACACUCAUUAAGUGGCAGAAAGAGCUUAAUCACAUCCAGUGCACAAGCCAAAACACACAGGCCAAAAUAUUCAGCGUAAAUUGUUGCACAGAAAAUAUUGCUUUAAGUGAAAUCUGGGUUCUCAUCUUCUAUGAAAAUAUUUAGGAACACAAAAGAGAAAGAGAAUGGCUGGUGAACCAGAGAUGUUUGUGGGUGCAGUAGAGAUACAUCCCAGUGAAAUUCUAGCAAUCUGAAACAGAAAAAAAAGCUCAAAUGGUUGUAUCCAAUUAAGGUGAGUAGAUCCACCAAAAUUUGCACCAGUCAAACCCAUUGCCUGCAAUGGAUCUACACUGAGUAGGGCUACCCUUGGCUAUAACACCUUAUAUGUAGGCCACAUUCACAACAUACAUUUAAAGCACUAUGAUAUCUGAUUUGAUCCCAGAAUGCCCUGGUUUUCCUUAGGAUGUCCCUAUCUUCAUCUGAGAAGUGUUGGACGGUAUGGAGUUAUGCAAUCCCCCGAGCCAGGGAGAGAAGUAACUAUACCACCUUUAGAAGACAUCUGAAGGCAGCCCUGUUUAGGGAAGGUUUUUUUAAUGUUCUAUUAUGUUUUUAUAUAUGUUGGAAGCCACCCAGAGUGGCUGGGGCAACUCAGAUGAGCAGGGUAUAAAGAAUAGAAUAGAAUAUCCCUAUUUUCAUAGGAGAAAUAAAUGUUGGAGGGUAUGGGAAUUUGCAUUGAAUUCUGCAGAACCGACAUCCUGGUAAGCAUGUAGGAGAUAGGAUUGCAAUGGACAAGAUAGGAGUACAUGCACACUGGAUUUUGCAUGCUUAAGGUAUAAAGGAAUAUGUGCCCUGGUGUCAGCAUUCAGGGACAUCAGAGGUAGGGUAGAAAUAUGAGGGGGGAGGUGUGUGCACCUCGCUGCCUGUGGCACAGGCUGGAUCAGACAUAUCAUCUAUUCCAGCUCAGUGUCAUUCUAAUCUAAGACAGUUUUAUAUCAAACCCGCUUGUCAGUUGAAAAACAGCAAGGGCUCCUGCUAUGAAAAGGCAAGGGGAGGAACGUGAAUGACACUGUACUGAGAGCAGACGGCGAUAGCAGCUGCAUGCAGCAUUAUAAUGGCUGAGCAAAAGCACAAAGGCAUUAAACCUCUUGAGCGACAAUUCAACUAUAUAGACUCUGCACAUCCCUUAAUGGAGAAUCCGGAAUGAGCAGGGAGCUAUUGUUGGAAGUGCAGCAGAAGAGAUCAUUCAGUUUGCAACUUAGGGGUUAAUUCUCUUACCAAGGGAGGAGGGAGGUGCAGCUUAGCAACCAGGCUGAGUGGCAUGAUCUCUGGUGAUGUAGCAUCUUGGCUGUUUAGUUUGGAGGCAGUAUUUCCUCUGGGUGUUUGGCUGAAUGUCUCCCCACGCUGUGCAUGGCCCGAACAAAAAAGGGCAAAAGCUCUCUGCUUUCUUUCUCCUCACAUUAUACAGUGGUACCUUGGUUCUCAAACUAAAACCGUUCCAGAAGUCCAUUCCAAAACCAAAGCAUUCCAAAACCAAUGUGUGCUUUCCCAUCGAAAGUAAUACGAAGCAGAUUAAUCCAUUCCAGGCUUUUAAAAACAACCCCUAAAAUAGCAAUUUAACAUGAAUUUUACUAUCUAACAAGACCACUGACCCAUAAAAUGAAAGCAAUAAACAAUGUACUGCAGUCACACAAUCAAUCAAUCAGUAGCUGAACUGGGUUCCACACAGUCACAAAAACAAAACAAAAACGCCACAAAAACAAAAACGCAAAAUAAAUAGCAAAAAUAGACAGACCUCAGCAUAACACUCAAAACUGAAUUGUGGCACUCAAAUCAGAAGCAUAACACUCAAAACAGAGCCCUUUUGGCUGCCGAAAAUAGUUCGCAAACUGGAACACUUACUUCCAGGUUUGCAGUGUUUGGGUUCCAAGUCAUUUGAGUACCAAGGCGUUUGAGAACCAAGGUACCACUGUAUACUAUUUUGGUUGAAAUUGUGCAGUAGAGUGAUUGGGAUUCUUCUCUCUUGACUGGUAUUUAAGAGACGUUACUAACAGCUAUAGUUACAAGGUUACCCAAAGGGUCAUCUAGGUCAACCCCACUGCAAAGCAGAAAUCACAGCUAAAGAACCCCUGGCAGAUGGCCACCCAACCUCUGCUUGAAAACCUCCAAGGAUGAAGAGUUCAUGGACAGUCCAUUCCACUAUCAAACAGCUCUUAUUAUCAGGAAGUUCAUCCUAAUGUUUAAUUGAAAUCUCCUUUCUUGUAACUUGAAUCCAUUGAUUCAGGUCCUCCUCUUUAGAGCAGGAGAGAACAAGCUUGCUCCAUCUUCUGUGUGAUAGCCCUUUAGAUAUUUGAAGUUGGCCAUCAUAUCUCCUUCUCAAUCUCAUUUUUUCCAUACCCAAACUCCCUCCCAAACAUACCCAACUCCCUCAACCAUUCCUCAUCAGGCUUGGUGUCCAGACCCUUGGUCAUCUUGGUCACUGUCCUCUGCACACCUUCCAGCUUGUCAACACCCUUCUUCAACCCUGGUGGCCCAGAACUGGACACAGCAUUACAUAUGGGGUCUGACCAAGGCAGAACACAAUGGGACUAUUACUUUCCUUGAUCUGGACACUAUAUUUCUGUUGAUAUGAUGUGUCUUCUGCCCAGGGCUUCUUCAGAAGGAGGAGUUGGGGUAUAUAUAAAUUGAAUGGAUGGCUGAAUAACAAUUGCUUCAUUACAAAGUAAACUAUGAGACUCUGUAUAUUUUUGUAAACCGUUUUGAACUCCCCCCCCCAAAAAAUGUAUAUAUUUAAUGAAAAAAAUACAAUAAAAAGGUCACCCAGUGAGAUUCGUGGCUGAGUGUAGAUUUGAACUCUGGUCUCCCGGGUCCAAGUCCAACACUCUAAAUCAUGGCACCACACUGGCUAUCAAACUGGUGUAUGUUUACCACCAAGUUUAAAACGUCAGGAAUUAAAGCUUCUUAUUAUUUGCCGUGGUCCAACAUAUUCUCUCUCUCUCUCUCUCUCUCUCUCUCUCACACACACACACACACACACACAGCCUGUCCCUUUCCAUCCCACCCAGAGGCAUCUGCUAUGCAAGCUGCUUAGCUCUCAUUCAGUGCGUGCCCUGCGGACCACAGGAGGGCAAACAGCUGAAAUCCAAUCAAGCAACUCUCUUUGGGACGAAGCACAUGAUGUGCCUGCCUGCCAGACUCCGGUUUUAAUGGACAUGGCAAAAGAAAGAAAAUAAGCUUAUGCACAGAUUCAGCAAAUAAUGCUUUGUUAGCAAAACGUGAAGCUGUCAGGUCUGUUUUGCAUUAGCCAGCCUUUGGGGAAAAUGAAACAGGGAGGUGGGGAGAGGGGGAAAGAGAAGGUGGGGGGAAGGAAUUAUUUUUGACAAGCCCUUGCCCUGCCCUCCAUCAAAUGCUCAAUAUUUGCUGCUAAUUGUUAUACAGAAACCACCUGCAAUUUAAGAGCACCGGGGACUUUCUGCAUCACCAUCUCCCUGUGUGGCAGGGCUCUGUUUUGCCUCAAUUGUUGUAAAGACAGGCAGAAAUCCCACAGGCACAGGUUGGAAGUCACAGAACGCAGAUGCCACAGGGAGCUUUUCCUGAUGAAUUUCCAUCCAUUUCUUACAUUCAAAUGCCCCAACCGUCCUUACUGAUCUGGAGGUAGUCCUGGAUUUCCAGUUUCUUGUCCCCAUCAGUUUAAUCUUCUGGGUGCCUGUUGCAGUGGGUGACAUUGAGCAUGAAUGGACCUGGCACCAAAAUUUGUGGGUGCCUGGCCUCUUCAUUGGGAAUUUAGUGGGUGCUCGGGCACCCAGGGCCCUGGGAGUUGGCACCUAUGCACAUCAUUUGUCAAUAUUUAUUUUUCUAGCCAGGCUGAAGCUGGCUUAAGAAGAAACCACAUCAAACAGCAGUAUUUGUCAAGAAACAAAGGUUCCCUAUUAGGAAAGACAGAUCAUAUCUGUUUCCAUUCCAUAUUACCUUCAUAUGUGCUCACUUGCAGGCCCAUCCUAUCCCCCUCUUUUUUGCAGAUUAAAACACAAACACACACACACACACACACACACACACACAAUUCUGUUUAAGUCGCCUUCUUGGCCCAAUCUUCCCCCUAAAUAUGCAUUUUCGUAUGCUUUCCAUUAUAUUCCCCCCUAAAAUACACAUUUUCAAAAAAAGCAUUACUGGGUAUAUUUUAAUAGCAAACCUUGAAACUGCAUCAUGGAAUUUGGAGAAAUAAGUAAUUUGAUCAAUUAGAUUGCAAUCCUUAUGUGAACCUAGGACAAUCAAAUUUGUGCUGCUCAUUUUAAAAUGCAGACCAAACACAUUUGUCCUCCUUCCCUAAUACUGCUUUCAAAAACAGAGAUAUGUGACUCUGUUUCAAGAAAAUUCCCAGGAACUGGUGUUCAGAGGGAUAGCUCAGUCAGCAGAGCUUGGGACUCUCAGUCUCAGCAUGGGACUUUUAAUCACUGGCUGGUUUCACUGCCCCUGUUUCACCCUGCCCCAACCCGCAUCCCUGUCUCCUGCCCAGCCCUGAUGGGUCCAUUUCCUCUGAUGCAAUAGAGAAUCAGGGCUGCUUGUCCCAGUUUUGUAUGGCACUCCAUCCUUUUUGCAUGGUUCUUAUCUAUUUGCAGCUAGAGAGGCCUACAAUGCUCAGAGAUAUUCCACUUUGGUGCAGCAAGACAUUGAAAGUUCAUGAAGCUUAUUUGCAAAAGCAGACAAUGUGAUGAUAAUGAUGAUUUUGCACCUGUGUAAGAUUUUCUGAACAGUUAUUUCACACACUUGCACAGGUGUCAAUCAACUCCACUAAAAUAUUUGCUAAUUCAGAGCCUGCUGGGCCAAACUUAAUUCUUAUUCCGUGCUGAAGCUCUGACUGGCUUGCCGUUUUCACAUGUUGUUGCUUGGUGACUCAUCCAUCCGCUUGUGCUUUACAGAUCCGCAUAAAUCCAUUUGUGCGUCAAUAAAACACCACGUGGAAAAUAAGUCUUGAUGAAAUUAUAUAAAUGAUGAGUCAGCUGUGCGAUGCAUUUGCAGCUUGCAUCAACAGAAGUACGGUGGGCAGAUCAUGAGUAAGAAUGGCCACAAGAGGCGACGACGUCCACCAACUUGGAUGUAUUGAAAAGAGGAUUAGACAAACUCAUGGAGGGUAAGGUUAUCAAUGGCCACAAUCCCUGAUGGCUACUCUCUACCUCCACUGUGACAAUACGCUUCUGAAUACCAUGAAUAACAAAUAGGGAAAUGGCAUAACCUCCAACAUUUCUCUGAUGAAAAUAGGGACAUCCUAUUCCAUAAUAACAAUAAUAAAUAAUAAUAAUAAUAAUAAUAAUAAUAAUAAUAAUAAUAAUAUUUUUAUCAUUGUUCAUACCUUGCCCAUCUGAGUGGGUUGCCCCAACCACCACCCUGGCCAGCUUCCAACAUAUAUAAAAACAUAAUAAAAUAGUAAACAUUAAAACUAUACAGGACUGCCUUCAGAUGUCUUCUAAAGGUUGUACAGUGGUGCCUCGCAAGACGAAAAUAAUCCGUUCCGCGAGUCUCUUCGUCUAGCGGUUUUUUCGCCUUGCGAAGCAGCCCUAUUAGCGGCUUAGCGGAUUAGCGCUAUUAGCGGUUUAGCGGCUAUUAAAGGCUUAGCAGCUUAGCGGCUAAAAGGCUAUUAGCGGCUUAGCGGCUUAGAAAAGGGGGGGGGGAGCGAAAAAAAUCGCAAGACUCGCAAGACUUUUUUGUCUAGCGAAGCAAGCCCAUAGGGAAAUUCGUCUUGCAAAGCGCAUCGAAAAACGGAAAACCCUUUCGUCUAGCGGGUUUUUCGUCUUGCGAGGCAUUCGUCUUGCGGGGCACCACUGUAUAGUUAUUUACCUCCUUGGCUCGGGGGAGGGGGGUGUCAGAUAAUUCCAUACCCUCCAACAUUUCUUGAAUGAAAAUAAGGACAUCCUAAGGAAAAGCGGGACAUUCUAGAAUCAAAUCAGAAACCAGGACGGCUUCUGUAAAUCCGGGGUUUCUUUGGAAAAUAGAGACACUUGGAGAGUUUCAAAUGGCUGUUGCACUCAGGUGACACUUGCAUGAUUCCCAUAAGUUGGCCACAGUGAGAACAGGAUGCUGAACUAGAUCCAGAAUGAAAAGAUCAUUAUCCCCCCCACCUUCUCCCUCCCUCCCUCCAUCUCUUUCACUGAGGACAAUAGUGUCUCAUACCGAAUGUAACUAAACUGUGACAAAGACUCUAUGAAUUGAAAGUGGAGGUGCUAUACUUACCUUUCCUUGUUAAUUUGUUUGUUUUGUAUCACAAGAAAACUGCAAUAAAAACUUUUUUUUAAAAAAGGAGAUUUCCUCCCCUUGAACUUGAAACAAUUCCCCUCCAGGAAUUGGAAGGUGAAGAGAACCACAGGGCACACAGAGCUAGCAUCCUGGGAAAAGGCUGGUAGUGUAACAGUAGAACAUCUGCCUCACAAGCAGAAAUCCCAGGUUCAAGCCCACGUAGGGCUGGGAGAGACUUCCUGUAGAAAACCCUGCAGAGCAGCUGCCGGUCAGUGGAGCCCCUAAUCCAGCUUUUGUAGGAGAAGGACUGUAGCUCGGGAGCAGACAGGGCCAGCCCACCAGUGAGGCAAAGUGAGGCAAUUGCCUCAGGUGGCAAGAUCCACAGGAGCAGCAGAUCUGGCCUCCAAGGAAUGCAUCGCCUGUGGCUGCUGCUGCAGCAACAGUGACAGCCGCAGGGCACUUAUUGGAGAAUGGAUUUGCCGCUCCCUUGGCAACACUCCCCCCCUCCCAGUGCCACCUCCACAGUGGUCUUUAGGGGAAUAGGAGGUGCUGCUGGUCACCUCCAAGUCUUGUUCCCUACAUAGAUCUUUAUCCUGCCCUCCUUGAUCCUGAUGUAGAUCUUCACUCAGCCAUUCUUCCCUGGUAGGGGUGGAGCCAUCUUGCGGCUUGCCAAAAUGCUUUGGGCUGGGAGCAGAGCAUCUAUUUUGCAUGAAAAGGGCCUCAGGUCCAAUCCUUGGCUUCUCCAGGGAGGGCCGACAAUGUCCCUUGCCUGAAACUCUGGAAAGCCUCUAUGAAUCAGUGUUGAGCUACAAUGAUUGGACUCCAAUCAUAAAUUUAAUAAUAAUAAUAAUAACUCAUUUAUACCCCACCCAUCUGCCUAGGUUACCCCAUCCACUCUGGGCAGCUCCCAACAGAAUAUUAAAAACACAGUAAAACAUCAAACAUUAAAAACUUCCCGAAACAGGGCUGCCUUCAAAUGUCUUCUAAAAGUCAGGGAGUUGUUUAUUUCUUUGACAUCUGGUGGGAGGGUGUUCCACAGGGCAGGCACCACUAUGGAGAAGGCCCUCUGCCUGGUUCCCUGUAUCUUCACUUCUUGCAGAAAGGGAACAACCAGAAGGCCCUCGGUGCUGGACCUCAGUGUCCGGGUAAAACGAUUGGGGUGGAGACAGGUAUGCUGGGCCGAGGCCAUUUAGGGCUUGAAAGGUCAGCACCAACACUUUGAAUUGUGCUUGGAAACGUACUGGGAGCCAAUGUAGGUCUUUCAAGACCAGUGUUAUAUGGUCCCGGCAGCCACUCCCAGUCACCAGUCUAGCUGCCGCAUUCUGGAUUAGUUGUAGUUUCUGGGUCACCUUUAAGGGUAGCCCCACAUAGAGCGCAUUGAAGUCCAAGCAGGAGAUAACUAGAGCACAUCCCCUUGUGUGUUUAGCUUACACUCAAUGUGCACACCUGAAAAGGACUUACGGUAUAUUUGUGGGGUCUCUCAGGAAACUGCCAACUGGUCCCCACCUACUUCGGUGUCCCCAGCUCACUGGUAAGGCUUAACGGGAGACAGUUGCAGCACUGGGGAGUUUGGGUGUGCCAAUCAGCUAAAGAGGCUCCCACUUUUCCCCAGAGCUGGCUCUGGCUGAAGCUGGCUUAAGCCCCAGCCUGCAAUAAGCUGUAUGUUCCCUCAAGACAUUUUGAGCUGCUCUGCUUGAGUUCUGCAGAGCCCAGCCAGGAGCGGUGGAAGCUACUGUUUGGGUGUAUCCUUCGAAAGAUAACGAUCGUUAAAUUGCUUUGACAUCCCACUGAUGAAAUAGCGCUGCAUAAGGGCUUAGCGUCGUUAUUCAUAGGGAUAAUGGCGUUUUAUCAUCUCAAAGAAAGUGGUUUAAAUUCCUGAAGGGAAUCAGAAAGCUCCAGCUGUAGCCUGGAAGUAUUUAUUAAGAGACUAGACUCUCUUUUUUCCUCCGUUCUGAAAUAUAUCUGUAUAUACAUUCCUGUACAGUAUACAUAAAGUUGUCGUCUCACAGCCCUCAUUGGAAGAUCCUACUUCACAAUCCUGUAGACUUGCAGGAAGUCAGAACACAGCCCCCAGGGGAGGGUUUGCCGUGCCUCAUCUGAAUCCUGAAUCAACAUGAAGAAAUGGAGUUGGGAAGCUGAAAAGCGAGCUUGGUAGUUUAAUGGGGUGGGAAGGGAAAGUUCUAGGGCAGUGGGUGAUACCGCCCCCUAGGGGCACUGGACUGAUCCAGGGGGCGGUAAUAGCCUCGGGUGCAAUGGGGGGCACUGAAUAAAAAUAAGGGAGCAGUGGAACCAUAAAGAAAGAAGAGAAGAAAAUUUCAAAAAACCAUUUGGACAUGCUUCAUUGGUUGUGUAAUGAUGCUUACCGCUAGGUAAGGAGCUAUUUUGGGAUGGCGACAACACCUCCCUUGGACCCGGCAGUCAUGCUGGAGGCAAGGGGUAUUCUUGAGAUUGGGUGAACCCUUUUCUGGCUUCACCCACCCAGGCCCAGGAAAUAGACUGCAGCUUGCCUGCCUAUUUGGCCAACGCCAGCCCUGUCCCUGGGGCGGAUCGGACUGAGCUGGCAGGUUUUAAUAAAUAAUUUUAUAAUUUCAAGCUUCCCGAUGUCUUAUUUACAACAACCUCUUUCUUUACUAUGUUGUAGGACAUAGGUGGGAAUAUAGAUACAUAAAAAAGAACACAAAUUUAUCACUGCAUCUUUGUUCGCUUAAAGAAGGUCGAUUUCCAUGGGGGCGGUGGGCUUUUUUUCCCCUGAAAGGGGGGAGGUAGGUCAAAUAAGUUGGGAAAACUCUGCUCUAGGGGUUGAUCUGGAGAGAGAAAAGCAAGGAGGCUGGCAUGCAAGACAAGCAGAGGCAGAGUCCCUAGGAGAUAGAUGAUAGAUAGAUAGAUAGAUAGAUAGAUAGAUAGAUAGAUGAUAGAUAGAUAGAUAGAUGAUAGAUAGAUAGACGAUAGAGAUAGAUAGAUGAUAGAUAGAUAGAUAGAUAGAUAGAUGAUAGAUAGAUCCAGAAACUAUAAGCAUAAGUCCCACAAGAUCAAACAUCAACCUGCAUUGAGUUUUACCACAAUCCAGGCUGGCAGUUAUGGGCUCCAGCUGGACCCAAGACGUUUUGUUGCCUGAGGCAAAGACCACACGACAUGUCCUUCCAGGUACAGUAGCCAGCUAGCUUUUCACUACAACCCCAGUGAUGGGACAACAUCAUCUACCCCAAACUUGAGACUAGUGGAGCAAUGACCCAUCAGUCUCAGCCUUUCCUCAGCCAGUAAGCACCUGCCUGCCUUCUGAAGAAUGACCAGUCCAGCAGGUGGCGCUGGCUGUCAGCAUCUCACUAGGGAGGAGGAUGGGGUCAAAACUAGGAUGAGUUGACUCUGCCUGUCAUAGGCUCUGGCGCCACCUACUGGUGGGCUCCCCACCUUCUGCCCCAUCAGUACUCAGUGGGCGCCAACCGCCACUGUCAUCAGGAAACCUCAGAAUAAAGAGCUGCAAUAUUCAAAAGCGGCAUAUUAGCCAAACAGACACACGCUGCAACAGCAAGCAGGUCAUGAUCUCAAUGUGCAAUUAAGGCCAGGGAACAUUCAUCUUCCAUGUACAGUUAAAAUAAAUAUAGCAGCUCUUUGUUGCAUCCUUCUUCGCAUAAACUUGCAGUGCUCUAGAGGCACACACCCCCCCCCCCCGCCGCCAGUACAAACUAGGUUAAUUAUUUCCAAAGAGCACGUCUAAAGGGUCAAAGUAGACACUGUGCUUGUGGUGUAUUCUGCCCUGGAGUGCUUCGUUUAUUUUUAAACAAAUAGCUGGCAUGUGGUGGACGCAGCUGGGUUAGGACCAUAGCAGAGUGGGGUGAAAGUGGGGGACUUCUAACUUUUCGCUCCUGCUUUGGUGCUGAUCGGAAUUACUCCCUCCUCCGCUCCUGCUAUUCUUAACGGGAGAAGAGCUCUCUCUCCUCAACAGAUACUUAAUGUGCAUACCAUUAACCUCCAAGGGGGCAAGAGUUUCCCACCUGCCUUGCCUGGGACACUUGGAACGAGGACCUGAUCCCUGUCAUGUAUUGCUUCAGGGGAGAAACCAUGGGAGCCAACAAAGGCAGGCUGCAGAAAACUGGAAGAGAAACUCUUGCGGAAGAGUUGAGCUUGCAUGCAAUACCCCUGUCUCUGUGGAGCAUCAACGGCUUGAGCAUAAGGAAGGAGGCUAUUCCAAUCUGCCCAGUUCACCUGCCGUUUCUGAACUGUGAUGGAGCUUGAAGAAGGACUGAGCAUCUUUAACUCCCUGGAUGAGUGAUGGGGAAAUGGCUGAUACGAGAGCCAGGUGAGAGCUGGGAGACAAGCUUACCAUACAAUGUAUGCAAGCUAAUUGUAGUGCGCUCCUGUGGCACAUUGUUUAGGUAGAAUGUCCCCCUUCCCCCCACCCGUAUAACUGAGUGCUACCAUUUUGUUUCCUUCUUGGACUUCAUUGCCUCUCUUAUGUAGUUUUAAGUUGUUAAAUUAGGUUGGCUUACUUCUAUUCAGUCUGUAACAUUGAGGCCAAAGGGGUCCCAAACAGGGGUGCCAACUCUAGGGGGCUGAGGUAUCUUCACCCCCUGAAUAUUUAUUAGAGAGGGCCUUGUGUGCAUCAUGCAUGUGUCAUGCUCGUGACACCACAGCAGCAUCAGUGGCCGGCUCCUCCAGAGUUCUCAGUCUCCUCUAGAUGCCCCCUCAAUCUUGAGGGCAACCUGGUGUCUCUGGUCCCAACCAAUGGAAAAGGUAGAACCUUUAUUUAUUUAAUGUAAUGUAAUGUAAUGUGAUUGUUUAAUUUAUAUCCCACCUUUCCUCCAAGGAGCUCAAGGUGGUGUACAUACUUCUUCUUCUACCCAUUAAAGUCAAUUAAAGAUCCAAUUAAAUGGAGAACCUCUGCGUAGGAGUGUUUUCGCCAGGCAAAGUGCUUUUGCAUUCAGCGCCUCCCUGCCUCCCACAUUUCAUGCUGGAGCAAGAGCCAGGUACUGAGACGAACUGCAAGUAAAUCCCAUUCACCCAGUCCCUGGGGGGAAUUUGCAAGGAUGAUUUACCCUCUGUCAUCCUUGUUUUUCGUUCGUCGACAAUCCCCUGCUGUCGUGGGGCUGCCUCCAUUAAGGCAGGUGGGACCGGAAGCCUAACCACGAACUGCUCUGACCUGACCCUGCCUCUCACCUGACCCUUGCUAUGACUUCUGCUAGCUCAAACCCUAAUUUUGGACUGCUUUGACUUUCCUCUCACAUGACCCUUUGUUGGGAACUCUGCUUGCUUGGACUCUGAUGUUGGGCCAGCCCUAGAUACUGCUUCGGUUGUUGCCCCAUUGAAGUCAGUGCUGGCAAGCAGUGGCGUAGCAAGGUCAGGUGGUACCCGGUGUGAAAAAUUUCUUGUCACACACCCCACAUUGAAAUCUAGUUGGACUUCCAAGAGACUGUGAUCUACUCACAGUAUAAAAAGACUGGCUGUUAUCUACUCAUUGUCAUUGCCAGGAGUUGUUGAUCUUUUGGGGGGUUGCAAGGUUUGGGUCCUGAGCUGAGAGAGCUUCUGCUUCUCUCCUUCCCUCCAUCCUCUGCUUGUUUGCUCACCUGCCUCCUUCCUGUCCUCUCCCUGCCUGCCUGCCUAAAUGCCUCCUCCAGCAGCCUGGGACCACAGGGCUGUCAAAACAAAGCAGCAAAAAGAGACGCAACUACUGGUAGGCGGGAGUCACGGGUGGGCUGCAGGCCGAAUGUCACCCCUCCUUGGGGCGGACCGCCCCCACCUUGCUCCGCCCCUGCUGGCAAGUCCUCUGUGAGAGGCCCAGUAAGAACAGGACAGUCUACAGCCAAGGUCUUCCCCAUCACUUGCUUCCUGGUCUUCUUCACCGGAGGUGCCCUCUGCUUUGUCACUGAGCUGUGGGCCAUCCCCUCUGAUGGCACCUGGAACUGCUUACUUGCCUCAUUCCAUCCUUUUGUCGGCAAUCUCUGAUCUAUCUGAAGAGCCAUGGGAUGUUGCGGGUUAGGUUUUCACAUCGCUGCGCUGUGCCUGGAGCUUUCAAUAAAAAGAAUGGAAGCCUUCCAAGCUCCAAGGGAGCGUUCCAUCUGCAGAACAUUUUUAUUACUCCAGCAGCCACAGAAGAAAUUAGAUCCAUUAAAGAUUGCUGGUUCGCUCAGGAACUGGAGGGCCAGCCUUGUGUUAGGUUGGGGAAGGGUUAUCUGAACGGCCAUAAAUCACGUAGUGGGGGAAUUGGCACAGCGGUGAUUGGAGCUCAGCUGCGAGGGGGAGGGCAGGAAGUCCCCGUUCAUUUGCAAAAUGAGUAAGGGUGGGUGUCUUUCCAUUUGAAGGACUGUAAGAGGGCAGCUGCCCCAUUUCAACGAGUGCUGAGGAUGCAUCUCUUUAGCCUAGAGUAUGAUACAAGAGUCGUAUAUUUUUCAGGGCCUCCCCUGUUUCCUUUGACUGUAAUGAGUUUUGAGCCAUUUUUAAUAUUGAAUUGUAAAACUCUAUAAAACCCACCCUGGGACCUUAUGGCAAAGAAAUCAAAUAAAUGGUAAGAAAUCAAAUAAGGAUAACGACGACAACUUCCUUACUGCAUACCCUCCAACAUUUCUCCAAUGAAAUAGGGACAUUUUAUUGUACAUCAGGAAGCUUCUCACACAUUUGAUCUCGCUGUACACAUAGACGUCUUAUACACAUAGACAUCUGUCACCUUAAGCCAAUUGCAAUGUCACCGCCAAACCUACCACACAGGAUUGUUGUGAAGGAAAAAUGUGCGAGGGGAUAUUGCACAACACCUUCCACAGAUAAAUGGAAUGAAAUAAAAUUCUAGCUGUAAGCUGCCUUGAGUACCUGUCAGGGAAAAAGUUGGGGUAAAACAACAACAACGGAAACUAUGAGAAUAAUCAAGAACAUUGUUGUUGUUUAGUCAUGUCCGACUCUUUGUGACCCCAUGGACCAGAGCACACCAGGCACUCCUGUCUUCCACUGCCUCCCGCAGUGUGGCCAAACUCAUGCUGGUAGCUUCGAGAACACUGUCCAACCAUCUCGUCCUCGGUUGUCCCCUUCUCCUUGUGCCCUCAAUCUUCUCAUGAGGUGGCCAAAGUACUGGAGCCUCAGCUUCACGAUCUGUCAUUCCAGUGAGCACUCAGGGCUGAUUUCCUUCAGAAUGGAUAGGUUUGAUCUUCUUGCAGUCUAUGGGAGUCUCAAGAGUCUCCUCCAGCAGCAUAAUUCAAAAGCAUCAAUUUUUCAGCGAUCAGCCUUCUUUAUGGUCCAGCUCUCACUUCCAUACACCACUACUGGGAAUCAGGAACAUACAAGAGAGUAUAUCCUAUUGAACUCAGUGGGACUUAGUUCAGAGUAAAAAUGCUUCGAAGUCCAGUGUAAGGCUGCACAGUCUUCGGCCAGUUAUCUGAGAGUAAGCUCCAUUGAAUACAGUGGGACUUACUUCUCAGUAGACAGUGUAAGGCUCCAUUUACAAUAAUGGAAUAAACACUCCCUGCAUUUCCCAUACAUAUAUAGAUAUAGAUAUAGAUAUAGAUAUAUGUAUGUGCUGGCUGCUAAAGCAUUGCAAUUAAAGAAUUUAAAGUGGAUCUGUGACCUUUUCCUUCAAAAGUAUAGGAAGGGCUUUGUAUGCCAUCAUCACCAUUUCCUUCAUUUGGUGCAGGAAUUUUAUUUUCAGUAUAAACAGAACUAGCUCCCCCCCCCCCAUCUACACACACCACUUUUAAUGUUUCUCCCAAGAUGUGGAGGGGAGGAAAAAGGAAAACCAGGACAUUCUGGGAUCAAAACAGACACCGAGAUAGCUUCUGUUAUUCCAGGACUGUCCCUGGAAGACAGGGAUACUUGGAGGGUAAAUUGCUGUCUUGUCUCAACAGCAAAUUCCAUCGCGUUCAUUCCAACCUCCUCUUUCCUGCUGAAUGUAGCAAGAAACCCACACAAAGGACAUCGUCUGUAACAAUCGGAUGCGUUCGCAACAAUUUCCUUCUUACCGCGUACACUUGACUGCUACAAUUAAUGAAUAUCUGCUCAGAGUUUCCAGAAUGGCAACAUGCCAUACGGAGAAAGAAAACAGUGUUACUGCUUGUAUAUAUGUGUGUAACGGUGGGAGAUUGUGGGGCUGGAAGAAACAACUUAUAAAAAUCAAUAAAAGCUUUUAUGGGGUAAUUUCAGUGAUCACAUUACACAAAGCUGGAGACAGACAUCAAGUAAAAAAAAAAAAAGUUUUAUGGAUUCCUCCCCAUUAUGGAUUGAUUACUAGUGCAUUUCAUCACCAUGAUUUCCUUCUAAAAUCGAUACUCUUUUGAGUUUCCCAUGGCACGAUAACCUAGAAAAAGUGUUCGGGUUCAAGGACUGCUUUGGGGGGGUUUUCCAGCCCCCUCCCCCCCAAAUAUUCCUUCUCACUGUAGGGUGCAAGCAGACAAGCCUAGCUGAGAUUACAAUACAUCCACUCAUUCCUCGCAAAACGAGGGCUAUGAAACAAAGGCUCCGACUACAAAGACAAAGCCUUAUCUUCCUCCAUGAAUUUGCCCGAUCCUCUUUCAAAGCCAUCCAUGUUGGGGGCCAUCAAUGCUUCUUGGAGGAGUCCCUGAAUUAACUAUGGGCUGUGUGAGGAAAUGCUUUCUUUUAUGUGCCCUGAAUCUUCCAAAAGGAUAAGUCAUGCUGAAGGCAGGAUGCAAGCCUUCAGUAAUAGGUAUAGUUGAGAGGAAAGAAGCAGACUUGGAUCCUUGGUGUGAGGAUCACUGGGAGAUCCAGUUAAAAGGAUCGAGUAAAACAGGGACUAGAUCUUUACCAGGAUUGACUUGCGGGCCAACUUUGGCCCAACACAACAAUCCCUUGACAUCAAUAGGAUGGGAGUGGAAGCCUUUUUUUGGAUUAUUUGAGAAAAAUAUAACCAAAUGAAAUCGAGGGCAGGAUUUGAAAUCUGAGCAACAGGAAGAAAAUGCUAAUACAGUCGUACCUUAGUUGCCGAACACUUCAGCUCCCUAACAAUUGAAAACCAGAAGUGAGUGUUCCGGUUUUUGAACGAUUUUCAGAAGCUGAAUGUCAGGUGCAGCUUCCGCGGCUUCUGAAGCUGUGCCUUGGUUUUUAAACGGUUCCGGGAGUUGAAUGUGUCAGAUGAAAUGUGUGAUAUUAUGCAGUAUAUGAAGGGGAUGAGUGUAAAAGCAGGUGGGAAGUCAAAUUAUAAGAGAAGUAUCUAAUAAAUUUGAAAUUUGAAAUUAAUUGGUUAAAGUUAUGAAAAUUUAAUAAAAAUCUUAAAUAGGUAAUAAUAAUAAAACAAUCACUUCAUUUUAACAGGGUGUCCCAUGCAAACCCCAUCCUGAAUCGGGAAAAGGGUUACAUGGAAUCCAAACUGAGCAGGAUCAUUGCUGCUUUGGCUGCAUGUGUCUGUUCUCUCCAGGAAACUGGGAGACACAGCCAACACAGGAUGUAACCUCACCAUACUGCCCAUCAGGUGACAUUCCAAACGAUGUCAGCUGAUGAUUAGGACAGGAGUGGCUUGGGAAAAGAACUCAUGGGCUAAAAACUGGAUCCGCUGGAGGGUCAGGAUUAGUCCGUGGGCUGGAAGUUCCUCAUCCAUGAAGUAGAAGUUAUGGAAGGUCUUUCUCUUCUGGAGAGCUGCUGUUGGUCAGAUUAUACAAUGCCGGGCUAGAUAGACAAAUACUCUGACCUUGCAUAAGGCAGGUUACUGUGUGCCUCACCCAGGAAUGCAGAAUCUGAGGAUUUCCUGUUGUUGUUGUUGUUGUUGUUGUUGUUGUUGUUGUUGUCUUACAUCUCCCACCAUCCCUGAUCACUGCCUAUGCUGAAUGGGUCUGAUGGGAGCUAGGAGUCUCCAACAACCUUGGGAAGUGGAAGCACAGGAUCCUCAUCCCUGUGGAAUAUGUUGACUUCCUAUGUUUCUGAAAACUGACAUUUCCUAAGAGUGAUUCUAAUUUUUGCAAGUAAAAAUAACGGGCGGCGUAUGUUCCUGCUCUGUCAGCUAAAGGGACCUCUUGAUGAAGAGGUCACAACUGCCUCUGGAUUCUGCUGCUUUAAAAUAAAUAUAAAUCUAGCAAUGCUAUAGCGAAGUUAUCUACCAGCCCUUUCUACAUGAUGAAGAGUACCACAUACUCCUAGGCCAACACUACAACUACAACAACAAAAAUUCCCCCUACCUAUUUUGGUAUUCUCCCUUGCUACUCACAGAGCUGCACACACCACUUCUCUUUUGAUUAGGCAGAUCAAACCAUUUAUUUCCUAAAAAUGAAUACGUACAAGACUGAAAAGCCAUUUCAGUAUACCGUGGUAGAAGCUGCGAGAUUCCUCCCGCCCUGCACCCCGCUGCUGAACCCAGUCGAGGCUGAAAUAUUGUUUACUGUAGUUGAAAAUUAAGUUCCUAACUUGCGAGGCGUAAGUGGGGUGCUGAGCAGAAAAUGGGGAUAAGAUCACAAACCUUGCUGAAACAAAUGGCAUGCCCACCAUCCUUUCCUCAUGCAGAAAGGUACAGCAGUAAGAAUGGAAGUUUUUCGAGCCGGGAAAGCACAGGUUUCUAAACUAGGAUGUGGUGUUACAGGAAUGCCAAGGCUGCAGGCUCCAAAAUGGCGGUGGGGUGGAAGGCUAUACCACCCUGGUUUUCACAGUGAUCCACCAGAUGCUUAUGGGAAGAGCACAAGCAGGAUGUGCACUCAAUAAGCAGUCUCCAGCCCAUGAGUCACAGAAACUGAUACUGGAGAUUGCUUCUGGCACUGGAGGCAAAAACCAGGGAACAUAAGAACAACUUGUGGGAUCAGGCCAGAGAACCAUCAGGUCCAACAUCAAGUUCUUACAGUAGUCAGUCAGGUGACCAUGGGAAGCCCACAAGCAACAGUACUCUCCCUUCCUGCAUUUUCAGGUAUUCAGAAACGUACUUCCUGCAACACAUGGAGAUGGACCAUAGCCACCAGGUUAGUAGCCAUUGAUAGCCAUAGCUGCUGUGAAUUUGUCCAAUCUUCUUUUAAAGCUAUUCAAGUCGGUGGCCAUCCCUGCCUCCUGUGGAAGUGAGUUCCCCACAGUUUAUCUUUGCACUACACGAAGAAGGGCUUUUUCUCUUUUUUCCUUUCCAGAAUCUUCCAGCAUUCAGUUCAAUUCAAUGUGCAGAUGUGAGAAGCAUCCCAAGUCUGGACUCCUCAAGGCUGCCACAUCCUAAUACCCCCCCCACUUCCCCACAGCAGCUAGCAGCCCCUCCUGUUAUUAGGCAACUUAUGGGAUCAACCAUUCCCUUUUGGAAUGCUCUGUGACAUCACAGCAGUUAAGCCAAUGCCUGAGGAGCUCAGGACUGUCGCUUUAUAGCGUUUUCUCCUUCUCAAAAGUGGCUGCUCAAGGAGAAAAACAGCAACUUUAGGGCUGUCAAAUGAUCCGCACAGAAGGCCAGCCAAGAACACAGUUCUAAUAGUUCUCCUUGCAUGAUUUAAAAACAAAACAAAAACCCUUACAGGGCUGAAUCUUUUUGCUUCCAAACAUUGUGUGUCUCCACCUCUCUCCUGCAUCUUGAUGAGUAACCAGACCUUUAAUUCAAAGUAGUGCAACCCACUCCCUGAUCAACCAUGACAGUUACAACUGGGUCCCAUUAGGCCAGAAAGGAGGAGACUAUAACUCCUUGCUUGUUAAUUGCCUUUUUGCAAAGUCUAUCCUGCUUCUGCAACUGGACUUCCUUAAACUGACUCCUCUAGCUCCUAUAAUCUUUGGAGUCAUCUCUGUACUGAUGAACGCAGAAGCAGACAUCUGAAGCACCACAUCAUAGUUGACCUUCCCAAGUAAUAAUCCCACUAUCUUUCCCUUUCCUACAGUGAGCUUUUAUAUAUAUAUAUUUUACAGAAACAUUAAAUAUUUACUUUGAUUGUUAUUCUCUUUCAUUAGUGACUGAGCCAUAGCGGGCUCCAAAAUGCUGAAAGGGAGCGGCAUGUGAAUGCAUCACUGUCUUGGGAAUAUGGCUGCGUUUGCAAAAGGCAAAAAGGAAACUACACAAGCUCUGCUCCCUGUAGGGCUCAGCCAAACGUCUGGUUCGCUCGCAGUUUACAAAUGGUUUCCCUGAUUAAUCAUUCACAGAAAACGACAGCGGUAAACAGCAACUGAGUCCAAGGCAAUGCUAGCAAAACCACAAGUGUCAGCCACAAUCGGCAUAGCCCGGCCCUACCGUUAGGCGAAGGGAGGCAACCAGGUGGCUGAGCAUGGAAGAUUCGUCUUCAUUUGCUUUUGCUUUUGCUUUUGCUUUUUAAAAUGCAUUGGUGUUCUCAUUUUGUAUUUUCCUGUUGCGGAUCGCCCUGCAAUCUUCAGGUGCAAAUUUAAUAAGUGAAUAAAUGUAAUACUAAAUGAAUAAAUAACUAAAUAAGCAAACAAAAAUAACAGUGGAAGCUCCCAAAUAGGGCCAGCCCGCUCAUGAGGCAAGGUCAGGAGGUUGCCUUAAGGCAGCCUUUCUCAACCUGUGGGUCCCCAGAUGUUGUUGAACUACAACUCCCAUCACCCCUAGCUAACAAGGCCAGAGCUCAGGGAUGAUGGGAGUUGUAGUCCAACAACAUCUGGGGACCUACAGGUUGAGAACCACUGCCUUAAGGUAAUAGAUUCCGGAUAGGUGGAAAAGGCUGCAGAUCUGCCUCCUGCUCCUGCCAGCUUCUUUGCUGUGCGCUCACCGCUUCCGCUGGGUAGUGGCUGUUAGUAUUUCAUGCAGCCGAUGCUGCAAAUGUGACUGGUGUGAAUCACAUGCCUGUCUGAGAAGACUGUGGGAAUGGAAGACAGCCUUAUCUCUCUUCCGCUGUAUGUAGUGGUACCUCGGGUUAAGUACUUAAUUCGUUCCGGAGGUCCGUUCUUAACCUGAAACUGUUCUUAACCUGAGGUACCACUUUAGCUAAUGGGGCCUCCGCGCGAUUUCUGUUCUCAUCCUGAAGCAAAGUUCUUAACUCGAGGUAUUAUUUUUGGGUUAGCGGAGUCUGUAACCUGAAGUGUAUGUAACCCGAGGUACCACUGUACUUUGUAAUGUACUUUCACUUUUGGUUGUUCUCUCGGAGGGAAAGAGAAUGGUUGCCAUUAUGCUGUACCUAGCAGGGAGAAAGUCAACCAAACAUAUAGAGGAGAAAUUCUGUCAUAUAGCUACACAGCCAGUCACAGCAUGUGCAGCCUCAAUGAGGACCAUGCCACUCUGACACACGCAAUGAUCUCGGCUGCUACACUUCCAACACCAACAACAUCUGGAAGCCCACAGGUCCCCCCCACGCUAGAGUUAGUGGAUCCAUCUUUGAGCAUUAGCAGCAGAGGUUGUUUAUAUAUCCAAGUUGUCAGUGGUUUAAGCUGAAAGCCUGUUUUUUAUUUUUAGGAUUGACUGCUAGUCAUGUUGAAUCUCCCUCCUGACAAUCCAGAACUGUCCACCAUGCUGAGAAGAGGGAGGGAGAAACCGACUAUAGGGUGAGUUCACAGGGGUAGGAGGACACUUUCUGCCCCCUCAAUAUGCUCACAAGCCUACACACAACAUGAGCGCCAUCUUUUCCUGCUGAGGAACGUGGGUUUUGUAGCUUCUCCCGCCUACCAGCUGACAAGUAUUUCUCCUCAAUGUGAGAUGGAAGCUUCCAGUUAAUGGGAAGAAGGAACAGUCUCUCUUGUCCCUAGUGAAAAUUAGGAGAACAUUGGGUGGGAAUGGUGGUUUUUGUCCAUUGGGACUGGUAGGACAGAAGCCAGGGAGACAGACAGUAGGGGGAGCCAGAGUCAAUGUUAGACUGUUAGAUGGAGUCAACUAAUUCUACAGCAGCAAUAAAUUCAUCUUAAUAAACAAACUUCAAUUGUUGGGAGUUUCUCCCAUUUGCUUCCUUACCUCUUUCUUUCCUUCCCAAAAAUCAAUAUCAGGUAUAUAUAUAUAUAGAGAGAGAGAGAGAGAGAGAGAGGACACUUGAAAAGCUCAAGGGAAGCAAAAACAACAACACAACCCAGCUUAUGAAAUCUCCCCAGAAAAGUCCUUUAGGGUUUGUCCCCUAAAUUGUGAUACUUUAGUGCAGGCAUAGGCAAAAUCCGGCCCUCCAGAUGUUUGGGACUACAAUGCCCAUCAUCCCUAGCUAACAGGAUCAGUGGUCAGGGAUGAUGGGAACUGUAGUCCCAAACAUCUGGAGGGCCGGAAUUUGCCUAUGCCUGCUUUAGUGGUCAGCUUCUCAGAAACCCACUCCUUUAGUGGUCAGCUUCUCAGAAACCCACUCCACGCUUCUGAAGAGAGGCUCCCGCCAAACCUUUCCAGAAUCUAGGGAGCAAAAUCAUUUUUGUGUGUGAAUUUUGCAAUAUUUGGUUUGACUUCGAUGAUCACAUAGCAAAGCUGCCAACAGAAAAGCAGUGCAGUGCACAUUUAUAUAAGGAACAAAUUCAGCUUCUUGUGGCACAUCGUGAGUCAAGAUUUUUUUGGUGAAGUUACAGAUAAUAAUCCCAAUUAUUUGCUUAUUUUACUAUUUGUUGUUAUGAUAAAUGCAUGUAUUAAGGCAAAUGGCCUUGGAAAUUUUGUCAUCACAUUUGUUUUGUUUAACUCAGUAAAGUUUGCCUGGGGGGGUGCAACAGCAAAUCUCUCAGGAAAAAUGAACACCCCUGUGAUAAAUUUUAAGGAGCCCCUCCCCCAAAAUAAAUGUUUAUGUACUUUCUUUCGUCUCAUCUGUCAGCUGACAUCUUCAAUGACAAGUCGGUGUCAAAAGAGAGAGACAGAGAGAGCAUGUGACAGAUAGCUAGUUCAGCCUUGCCAUUGACUCCUGGCAGCUCUUGUAUUUUGCAGUUCUUCAUUUGGAGACAUAUCGCUGCAUUUCAAAGAAUGCUGUUGACUGUCGGAUUCAUCCCUGACCACGGAGCAGGUGCCCUCAGAAUAAACCCCACAGAGAAAAAUAGAAGGCUGCGUGUGGAGAAUGCUUCAGUUGCGUGUUUCCCCCGUCAUAUGAGAGGCUUUCAACAACAGAAAAAAAACACCAAAACAAAAAGCAAAGGACCCACUCAGGCAAAGGGAAGCAGAGAUAAGAGGGAGCUUUUGUAAGGCUGGCUGUGCAGAUAGCAUGAACCAGACAACAGAUCUAAGCGACUUCCGUGACAAUGCCCAACGUUAUUAAACGCAGAGAACAGCU